CUACUGCGGAGCAAGUGGGAUGUCAUUAAGUAGACUACCUUAGAGUUUGAAGAAUCAGUCGGGCCGAGGCUGCAGUUGUUAUAUCCACUGAUGUAACGGGAUUGUCCCUCUUGUACCUACCAUCAACCCUUACCCCAGCGACGAAAUUUGGUCGUGUUUGGCAUGGCAUUGAUGGAGAAGCUGACAGAGAAAGGUGAAGCUUCAAGGCUGUUGGGUGCAGUAAUCUGCGAGCGUCAGAAACCCCCUAACACUUCAGGGGGUGAAAAGUGCUCUAGAGCAAGGGUGUUGGUGGUCCAGAGUAAAGGAUGGGGAUGAAGUGAAUGUUGAGGAUGCCAUGGGAGGACAAGACCUGCAUCUUCCCCUGAGCCUGGUUCAACUUAUGCAUAGUAAAGACGUCCUGGGCAAGGGCUGUUGUACAGUUAAUGCAUGUUAACGGAACAAAACGCACUCCAGGUUUUGGCUGACGGGUGAUUGUAUGGUAGGUGGUCUAAGCGGUGGUGUAAAAGCAGAGUAGCAUUAGUAAAAGCACAUGGAUAAGGUAAGCACAGUAGAGCAAAUCACUUCUUAGCAAUGUUGGUGCAAAAGAAGCAGCAGCAUCAUUCUGUGUAGCACCAUUUUGAAUGAACGGAUGGAGGAAUCUGCUGUCCUGUUGAACAGAAUGUUCAUACACACACACACAGCUUCCUAACAGCCUGUCAAGCAAUGUUGCCAGUCUCAGAUAUGUAACUGCCAUCAAUGACUGUUGCUCAAAGAGAGCCAUAUUUAAUCACUCUUACACUGUACUUGUGAGCUGACAGCUUGGUGAUGAGGCAUGGUCUGCACUAGGGCUGCAACUAACGGUUAUUUUAAUAGUAAUUUAAUCCAUCAAUUAUUUUAUUGAUAAAUGGAUUAUUGUUAUCAAUAACAUUUCCGGAAAUGGUGAAAAACACGCCAAAGAUAUUUAGUUUACUAAAGUUGAAAGUAUUCAGGUUUAAGAAGCUUCAAUCAGAGAAUUUUUGAGUAUUUUCCUUAAAAAGUGACAAACCGAUAACCAAAAUAGUUGUAAAUUAAUUUAACAGUUGACAACUAAUCAAGGUCAUCACACUUCAAGACUGGCUCUCAAUGGAUGGUAGGGACUGGGGAAGAUGGCUGACCUAUUCAUCUGUUAGUUUUCCUGCCCACACUGUCUGUUUAUACAUCUGUCCACUCUGUCUGUCUUUCUCACUCAUGAUCUUUAAUGUACGUUAAUAAAUCCACUGUGUUUUUAAUGGGUAACUGGUGAUGUCUUCAAACGGAGCUGGGACCAAAGUGCUAUUAAAACUUCGCAAUGUUUAAUUUGCUCCCCAGAGUCAUACACACCCUCUCCCUCACACACUCACCCAGACACACACAUACACACACACACACACACACAAGCAUGCUUUGGUGAACAUUCAACGCUGUCGGUGAGUUUGAUGUGAAGUGUAUGAAACCAUCGACCGUUGAUUGUACCCCACGGCCUGGAUUUCCUGCGCCGGAAAAUCAGCACAUGAACCAGGAAUAUCAGUACCCUCAACACCUGAUAAUGUGUGAAAUGCAUAAGGUCUACAAGGCUUGAAAUGUGAAGUGUGACUUUAUGUGUGUGUGUAUGCAAGUGUGUGAGUGCAAGAGUGAACGAGUGGAAUAGAGAGUAUGCUGCUUGAGUAUGUGAGUUUGUGUGUGUGUGCAUGUGUGUGAGAGAGAGUGUAUAUGUGAGUGUGUGUGUAUGUGUUCCCUUUCAUGUAUUCAGGAUAAGAAUGCCCUCCUGUUAAAAGGUCACAAUCAACAUUCAUUGCUGUCGGUGGGUUCAACACAGUGGAAAGCUCACCGAACAAUGAGUGCAACUGUGUCCCAGAUUCUCUCGCUCUCUCUCCUCUUCUGUUAAUGUCACAGAGCCCUAUCGCCACCAGAUGCAUUUUUAUUUAUUCAUUUCUCCAUGUUAGCCUGGUCUUCAGGAGGUUGGCUGUCACCGAGGAGGUGUGUGUGGUUGGGGGGCGCUCGCCUCCUACCCCGGAUGGUGUAAUUGAAGGUUGUGGUGUUCAUCAGGGAAGGGGGGGGGGGGGGCUUUCAGGAGUGGUGGUGGAAGGAAAUGAGGGAUGAAUGUGUAAUCAUCUGGAUUUUCAUCUCAUCUGGCCGCUUUGUUCUGCGUUUUUUAUUUGUCAAAUUACAUGCUGUGUGUUUGUAUGGCAGCAGGCCGGAGAGGAACCAGGAACUAAUUGGCCUAUGCUUUUCCAGCACGACUUCCUCAGCUGUCGCUUUUGUCAGCGAUAGCCCUCCUCUUCCUCCAAUUUUAUGUUUCCGUCUAUGAGUGUGUGUGCAUGUAAGUUCGAGAUACAGCAGCAAAUGAGUAGCACUGAUUGAGCCCCAUAGCCAGUAGCUCGCUAGUCAUCCGCUGUGACUCAUCUCUAUUUCAUGCAGGGCUGGCAGGCUCGUUUGUGGGUCAAUGGGUUAUGUGUGCUCCAGGCAUGUUGGCUAGUUUCCUAAGACUGGGAGACUUUGAAACCCAGACAGAGAGCUUCACCUAGAGCAUUCUGGAGCAUGUCAGAGAAAACCACUUGUCAUUUAGUUGAAAAGGAGGAAUAAAGUGUAAUGUACAGCCUUCAGCGCACAGUGGGUGGUAUUUUGGUAUUUUGCACAAGCUUUAGCAGGCGAUAAUGCAAUAAAGAUAUAUAUUAUGAAACAUCUAACACCUAGGCUAUAAUUAUUCAUAGGUGAGGCAUCACACAUCAGAAUGGGUAUCAAAGGAGGUUUUUUCUCAUCUGCUUUUCCACAUAAAAAUAAUGUGUCUUGUAAUUGUCUUGUAAUGGCUGAGCAAAAUAAAAUGACACUAACAAACGUUAAAUGUCCAGUUAAAUACUGUUUUGUGACUUGAAUAAAAUCUGCUAAGUACAUUUCAA